rnacentral:rRNA from 1 species
GACGAACGCUGGCGGCGUGCUUAACACAUGCAAGUCGAACGGAAAGGCCCUGCUUUUGUGGGGUGCUCGAGUGGCGAACGGGUGAGUAACACGUGAGUAACCGGCCCUUGACUUUGGGAUAACUUCAGGAAACUGGGGCUAAUACCGGAUAGGAGCUCCUGCUGCAUGGUGGGGGUUGGAAAGUUUCGGCGGUUGGGGAUGGACUCGCGGCUUAUCAGCUUGUUGGUGGGGUAGUGGCUUACCAAGGCUUUGACGGGUAGCCGGCCUGAGAGGGUGACCGGCCACAUUGGGACUGAGAUGCGGCCCAGACUCCUACGGGAGGCAGCAGUGGGGAAUAUUGCACAAUGGGCGGAAGCCUGAUGCAGCAACGCCGCGUGCGGGAUGACGGCCUUCGGGUUGUAAACCGCUUUCGCCUGUGACGAAGCGUGAGUGACGGUAAUGGGUAAAGAAGCACCGGCUAACUACGUG